rnacentral:rRNA from 1 species
AAUGAACGCUGGCGGUAUGCUUAACACAUGCAAGUCGAACGGUAAAUACGUGUUUUACAGUUGAAGGAGCAAUCCGGAUGCUGUGAAAUGCGUAUGAGAGUGGCAAACGGGUGCGUAACACGUGGAUAAUCUGCCUUUGUCACGGCCAUAACUCUGAGAAAUUGGAGCUAAUUGCCGAUGGUAUUCGGUGACGCAAGUCAUCUAAAUUAAAGGUCCGAUGCAAGUCUGACCGGACAAAGAUGAGUCCGCGGUCUAUCAGCUAGUUGGUAGGGUAAAGGCCUACCAAGGCUAUGACGGAUAGCCGACCUGAAAGGGUGAUCGGCCACAUUGGCACUGAGAUACGGGCCAGACUCCUACGGGAGGCAGCAGUGGGGAAUAUUGGACAAUGGACGCAAGUCUGAUCCAGCAAUACCGCGUGAGGGAUGAAGGUCUUCGGAUUGUAAACCUCGAUUAAGAGAUGAUGAAGUCCGUCGUAAGACGGGUUGACAGUAAUCUCAGUAAAGUCACGGCUAACUACGUGCCAGCAGCCGCGGUAAUACGUAGGUGGCAAGCGUUAUUCCGAAUUACUAGGCGUAAAGGACAGGUAGGUGGUCGGGCAAGUUGAGAGUGAAAUCCCCUGCAAAAUCAGGGAGGGUCUUUCAAAACUGCCCGGCUUGAGUGUAGGAGGGGGAAUCGGAAUUCCUGGUGUAGCGGUGAAAUGCGUAGAUAUCAGGAGGAACACCGAUGGCGAAAGCGGAUUCCUAUCCUAUUACUGACACUGAUCUGUGAAGGCGCGGGGAGCAAACAGGAUUAGAUACCCUGGUAGUCCGCGCGGUAAACGAUGUUCACUUGGUAUGGGAGGCAUCAACUCCUUCUGUGCCGAAGCUAACGCGUUAAGUGAACCGCCUGGGAAGUACAACCGCAAGGUUGAAACUCAAAGGAAUUGACGGGGGCCCGCACAAGCGGUGGAGCAUGUGGUUUAAUUCGACGCAACGCGAGAAACCUUACCCAGGCUUGAAGAACUGGUGGUAAAUUGACGAAAGAUCAAUUGACCCGCAAGGGAGCCAGUAGAGGUGCUGCAUGGUUGUCGUCAGCUCGUGCCGUGAGGUGUAUGGUUAAGUCCCACAACGAGCGCAACCCCUGUUCUAUGUUGCUAUCCCGCAAGGGAGCGCUCUUAGAAGACUGCCUUGGUUAACGGGGAGGAAGGCGGGGAUGACGUCAAAUCAUCAUGGCCUUUAUGUCUGGGGCCACACACGUGCUACAAUGGCUAUUACAAAGGGCAGCUAGACCGCAAGGUGGAGCGAAUCCCUAAAAAGUAGCCUCAGUUCAGAUUGAGGGCUGCAACUCGCCCUCAUGAAGUCGGAAUCGCUAGUAAUCGCUGAUCAGCAGGCAGCGGUGAAUACGUUCCCGGGCCUUGUACACACCGCCCGUCACACCAUGGGGAGCUGAUCGCAAUAGAAGUUCUGUUAUGCAGAAUGAAGUUGUGAUUGGUGACUGGGG